UUUGUGUCACCACUCACAUCAGAGGGUACGCUAUCAUCCAUACGAAGCAGUUCUCUUACAUCUUUCCAAACCAGAUGGGGGAGGAAAAAAUAGAUAUCCCAGAUGGGAUUAGGGGAACAAAUAUCCCUCAGAGAUAAAAAAACCAAAUGAGAUACUUGAUGCAUUAUGCAUGUCAAUACAUAUGCAUACUUUGGACCAUUCAUGUUUC
rnacentral:lncRNA from 1 species